UACGGAGGGUGCAAGCGUUAAUCGGAAUUACUGGGCGUAAAGCGUGCGCAGGCGGUUCGUUAAGUCUGUCGUGAAAUCCCCGGGCUCAACCUGGGAAUGGCGAUGGAUACUGGCGAGCUAGAGUGUGUCAGAGGAUGGUGGAAUUCCCGGUGUAGCGGUGAAAUGCGUAGAGAUCGGGAGGAACAUCAGUGGCGAAGGCGGCCAUCUGGGACAACACUGACGCUGAAGCACGAAAGCGUGGGGAGCAAACAGG
rnacentral:rRNA from 1 species